rnacentral:rRNA from 1 species
UGGGGAAUUUUGGACAAUGGGCGAAAGCCUGAUCCAGCAAUGCCGCGUGUGUGAAGAAGGCCUUCGGGUUGUAAAGCACUUUUGUCCGGAAAGAAAUCCUUGGCUCUAAUACAGUCGGGGGAUGACGGUACCGGAAGAAUAAGCACCGGCUAACUACGUGCCAGCAGCCGCGGUAAUACGUAGGGUGCAAGCGUUAAUCGGAAUUACUGGGCGUAAAGCGUGCGCAGGCGGUUUGCUAAGACCGAUGUGAAAUCCCCGGGCUCAACCUGGGAACUGCAUUGGUGACUGGCAGGCUAGAGUAUGGCAGAGGGGGGUAGAAUUCCACGUGUAGCAGUGAAAUGCGUAGAGAUGUGGAGGAAUACCGAUGGCGAAGGCAGCCCCCUGGGCCAAUACUGACGCUCAUGCACGAAAGCGUGGGGAGCAGACAGGAUUAGAUACCCUGGUAGUCCACGCCCUAAACGAUGUCAACUAGUUGUGGGAUUCAUUCCUUAGUAACGUAGCUAACGCGUGAAGUUGACCGCCUGGGGAGUACGGUCGCAAGAUUAAAACUCAAAGGAAUUGACGGGGUCAUAGCUGUUUCCU